rnacentral:misc_RNA from 1 species
CUCCUUCGUAUCAAUAGAGCAGGCUAAAUAUCAAUUCUAUUAUCACUUGUAUUUUAUCAUGUCCCAGCCAGGUGCAAAAAGUUUAGACCCAUUUGCCUUUUCACAUGAUCCGGUAUCAGCUUGUUAACAAGCUCAGGAGAUGCCCCACUUAAUUCUUGUCUAAAGUUGAAGAGUGGUGGUAAAGGGCGACCAUUUGGUAGGCGAGCAUUCGGUUCUCGGAGCUCAUCAAAGAUAGAGUGUGCACACGCUUCUAGCGCAGUGCAUCGUAGACUCGGUGAGUAUUGCAGCAGGCGUGAAGCAAGAUCAAUGGCCUCUGGAGGCAUCCUUUUGUGGAAGACCUUGUGCCAAGGGUGUGCUUUUAUCUGAGGAAACCUAAAAUCAGUAUAAUUUGGAUUCAUACAGCGAAUUUCUUCUCGGGUUGG